UUGCAAUUGGAUUGAGAACAACGUACAAACCUUAUCGAUAAACAAUUGGAGGGCAAGUCUGGUGCCAGCAGCCGCGGUAAUUCCAGCUCCAAUAGCGUAUAUUAACGUUGUUGCAGUUAAAAAGCUCGUAGUUGAAAUGAAGGGUAGUUGUGUAAUGAAUACAUUCGUGUAUUUUGUUAUUCUACUACCCUCCUUCUAAAUUCGAUAUAUGAGUAUUAAUUUACUUGUAUAUGGUUUUAGACGUUUACUGUGAGAAAAUUAGAGUGUUCAAAGCAGGCAUUUGCUUGAAUAUAUUAGCAUGGAAUAAUCAUGUAUGAUUUUCAUGAUGUAUUUGAUUGGUUUGGUUCAUGAGAAUAAGAUUAAAAGGGACAGUUGGGGGUAUUCAUAUUCAAUAGUCAGAGGUGAAAUUCUCGGAUUUAUGGAA
rnacentral:rRNA from 1 species